UAAAACCCCUGGACAGUUCCUGACUGGACUGCUGUUACCUCUGCAUUCUCGCCUUCCCCGUGAUUUCAUCUCCACAGCAUACCCUUGAAAUAAAGGGUCAACCUUUUGGGAUAAACAUUACACACUUUCUGGGAUAUAGGAAAGUGUGUAAUAUAUCUGGGAUAUAGGCCUACACUACAGUUGAGAUCUUCUCUGUGAGCAGACUAGGCCUAUACAUUUUUCCUUGUAUCGUGAUAUUGUGGUGUUAUUCCUUUGGUGAGACCACUAUGGAGUGGAAUAUGGAGUACUGUAUGGAGCAGGUUAUGCAGAAGGACCUGGGUCGGAGACUACAGGUGGGCCAAGACAUCAUAGACUCCAUCCUGGACAAGGACAAGUCCCAGGACCUGGAGCAGGACCAGACCAUGCUGGACAGAAUGGUGGAUGGUGUCGCUACCAACUGGGUCAACUCCAGCAAUUUCAAGGUGGCUUUGUUGGGAAUGGACAUACUGACAGCUUUGGUAACAAGACUACAGGAACGGUUUAGGACACAGAUUGGAACUGUUUUGCCGAGUUUGAUAGAUCGGCUAGGCGACUCAAAGGACCAAGUCCGAGACCAGGACCAAGCUCUUCUGCUAAAGAUCAUGGACCAAGCUGCUAACCCACAGUAUGUAUGGGACCGAAUGUUAGGAGGAUUCAAACACAAGAACAACAGGACCCGGGAGAGUGUCUGCAUUUGCCUUAUCGCCACGUUAAAUGUAUAUGGAGCUCAAGGCUUGACCCUCAGCAAAAUUGUCCCCCACAUAUGUAAUCUUUUAGGAGACCCUACAAGCCAGGUGCGAGACGGGGCCAUGAACUGUCUUGUUGAAAUCUACAGACACGUCGGGGAGCGGGUGCGGAUGGACCUGGGGAAAAAGGGACUGCCACAGUCACGGUUGAAUGUCAUUUUCAGUAAAUUUGAUGAAGUUCAAAGAUCGGGGAACAUGAUCCUGUCCCCUGUCUCAGAUAAGAACUAUGAUGAUGAUGAUUCGGUGGACGGGGGGCGGUCCUCCUCUUCUAAGGGCCCCUCGUCAGGGAAGAAGGCAGUGAGCAUGGGGUCGUUCCGUAGGCCCAGCUCUGCUUCCAGCACCAAAUCAACAGGGAGAGAUGGUCCUAGUGCGGCUGCUGCAGGGGCUGUGGAUGAGGAGGACUUCAUCCGUGCCUUCGAGGAAGUGUCCACUAUGGAACUUUUCUCUAACAGGGAAAUGGAGGACGCCAUGACCAAGAUCAGAGAGGUGCUGGCUGACGACAAACGAGACUGGGAGCACAGAGUCACUGCGUUGAAGAAGAUGCGUUCUCUGCUCCUGGCGGGAGCGGUGGAGUUUGACGGUUUCUCCCAGCAGCUGCGUCUCACAGAGGCAGCCCUCAAGAUGUCCUCUAAAGACCUGCGCUCUCAGGUGGUCAGAGAGGCUUGUAUCACUCUGGGCCACCUGUCCUACAUCCUGGGGAACAGGUUUGACCACUGUGCAGAGUCCAUCAUGCCCACUCUCCUAACCCUGGUCUCUAACUCGGCCAAGGUCAUGGCCACAUCCGGCAUCGCUGUCAUACGACUCAUCAUCAGGCAUACACACUACCCUCGUCUCAUUCCUAUCGUGACCAGCAGCUGCCAGUCGAAAUCUGUGGCCGUAAGAAGGCGCUGUUUUGAGUUUUUGGACCUCUUGCUGCAGGAGUGGCAGACCAACUCUCUAGAGAGGAAUGUAGCUGUUCUGACAGAGACCAUCAAGAAAGGAGUCCAUGAUGCAGACUCCGAGGCCAGAUCAGUGGCCAGGAAGUGCUACUGGACGUUCCACGGCCACUUCAGCCGGGAGGCAGAGCAGCUGUUCCAGGCUCUAGAGUCGUCCUAUCAGAAGGCUCUCCAGUCCCACAUGAAGAGUUCUGACAGCAUCCUGUCCCUCCCUGCCUCAGACCGCUCCUCCUCCUCCUCACAGGAGAGCCUCAACCGCCCUCAGUCUGCCAAGAGCUCCAUGGGAAACACCGUGACCAGGACGAAAGCGGCUCCCUCCAGAGGUCCCUCCACCCCGGUCUCUCUCCAGCGUUCCCGUAGCGACGUGGACGUGAACGCUGCUGCCACCGCUAGUGCCAAAACCAGGAUGACUCCCGUGCCCGCCUCGCCCGCCCCCUUCAGCGCUGCCUCGGCUCUGCCACCCGGCUCCUAUGCCUCUCUAGGCCGUGUGCGUACCAGGAGAACGAGUUCGGGGAGGCGUGGGGGCCAGUCCCUCUGUCAUAGACAGUAGGGGGAGGAGUCGAGCCAAAAUGGUGUCAGUGUCUCAACCUGGCAGUCGUUCUGGCUCCCCUGGUCGUCUCCUGAGCCAUACAUACGGCAGGAUCUCCAGGGCCACUGCAGGGACAACGCCAGCAGAAAGGAGGCCUAAAGUCCCCCGCAGCCAUGGCUGCAGCCGAGACACCAGUCCAGACAGAUCAGGCCUGGCGAGGAGUCGUAUCCCCCGGCCCAGCAUGAGUCAGGGCUGCAGCAGGGACACCUCUAGGGAGAGCAGCCGAGAUACCAGCCCCGCUCGGGGAUUCUCUCCUCUGGCAUCCAGACGUGUCUCCCGCUCCACCAGUGCUCUCCACUCGGCUGAGUCUGUGGGCCACUCAGAGCGUCUAGGUCUGGCCCACCAGGCCCGUAUCUCGGCCUCUGUCAACGCCAUGAGGAUCCUCAACACUGGGACCGAGGUGGAGGCAGCUGUAGCCGACGCCCUGUUACUAGGCGACGCCAGGAACAACAAGCGGCGGCCAGUCAGACGGCGGUACGAGUCCCCGGGGAUCUACUCAGACGACGACGCGAACAGCGACGCCAGCAGCGCCUGCUCUGAGCGCUCGUAUGGCUCGCGGAACGGCGGCCCGCCCCACUACAUGAGACAGACGGAGGACGUGGCCGAGGUGCUGAACCACUGUGCCAGUUCCAACUGGUCUGAGAGGAAGGAGGGGCUGCUGGGACUACAGAACCUGCUCGUUAGCCAGAGAAUUCUCAGUCGUGUGGAGCUGAAGCGAUUGUGUGAGAUCUUCACAAGGAUGUUUGCUGACCCACACAGCAAGCGAGUGUUCAGCAUGUUUCUGGAGACCCUGGUAGACUUCAUCACCCUGCACAGAGAGGACGUGCAGGACUGGCUGUUUGUCCUGCUCACCCAGCUGCUGAAGAAGAUGGGAGCUGACCUCCUGGGUUCCGUACAGGCCAAGGUCCAGAAGGCUCUGGACGUCACCAGGGACUCGUUCCCGUUCGACCAGCAGUUUAACAUCCUGAUGCGUUUCAUCGUGGACCAGACCCAGACCCCCAACCUGAAGGUCAAGGUGGCCAUCCUGAGGUACAUUGAGUGCCUGGCCCGUCAAAUGGACCCCGCAGACUUUGUCAACUCCAGCGAGACGCGCCUGGCCGUCUCCCGCAUCAUCACCUGGACCACGGAACCAAAGAGCUCCGACGUCCGGAAGGCGGCUCAGGUGGUUCUGAUCGCCUUGUUUGAGCUGAACACCCCAGAGUUCACCAUGCUGCUGGGGGCCCUGCCCAAGACCUUCCAGGACGGAGCCACUAAACUGCUGCAUAGCCACCUGCGGAACUCCAGCAACACCAGAGUGGCUUCUCCCAGUAGCACCAUGGGACGUACUCCUCCCCCACCUCGCCACCCCAGCAGUCGCAGCAGCCCCCUCACCUCUCCCACCAACUGCUCCCAUGGGGGGCUCUCUCCCAGCAUGUUGGAGAACGACACAGAGAACCUGAACACCGAUCAGAUCUAUAGUUCCCUGCGAGGCGUCACUGAGGCCAUCCAGAACUUCAGCUUCCGCAGUCAGGAGGACCUCAUGGAGCCGGGCAGAGGCAAGAGAGAGGACACGCCGGGUGUUGGAACAGCAUCACACUCUGGUGCCGACGUGGUGGAGGGGCCCGGGGGUCGCACGGCCCUGGACAACAAGACCUCCCUACUCAACACCCCCUCCCCCCGUUCCUUCUCCGGCCCCCGGGGCCGCGACUACAACCCCUACAACUACUCUGACACCAUCAGCGCCUACGACAAGGCUGCCCUGAGAGAGACUGUGUACGAGGACGACGUGGAGCAGCUUCGAGAUGGCCGCCAAGAGUGUGGUGGAGAAAACAAGAUGCUGCACACCAAGAACAGUUCCCCUGCGGAGCAGCUGGGACUGGUGGGUGAGCUGCUGAAGGAGCUGUCUAACCCCAGUGAGAGGCCAGAGGAGAGGAGGGGAGCCCUGGUGGAGCUGCUGAAGAUAGCCCGGGAGGACAGCCUGGCAGUGUGGGAGGAACACUUCAAAACCAUGCUGCUCCUGCUGCUGGAGACUCUGUCAGACCAAGAUCACACCAUCCGGGCACUGGCGCUACGAGUGCUGAAGGAGAUCUUACGCAACCAGCCGGCCCGCUUCAAGAACUACGCAGAACUCACCAUCAUGAAGACCCUGGAGCUACACAAAGACUCCCACAAAGAGGUUGUGCGGGCAGCAGAGGAGUCAGCCUCCACCCUGGCCGGCUCCAUCCACCCAGAACAGUGUAUCAAGGUGCUGUGUCCCAUCGUCCAGACAGCUGACUACCCCAUCAACCUGGCUUCCAUCAAGAUGCAGACCAAGGUGAUCGAACGCAUCACCAAGGAGUCCCUGCACCAGCUGCUGCCUGACAUCAUACCAGGACUACUGCAGGGGUAUGACAACACAGAGAGCAGUGUGAGGAAGGCCAGUGUGUUCUGUCUGGUGGCUGUCUACUCUGUCAUUGGUGAAGAGCUGAAGCCCUACCUGGCCCAGCUCACAGGAAGCAAGAUGAAGCUGCUGAACCUGUACAUAAAGAGAGCCCAGACGUCCACCAGCAACAGUAGCAGCUCCUCAGACAUCUCCUCAUACUAAUGAACAUGACCCUCCGGCUCCAUCCGUGUGUAUGUGCAGGUACAUACAGUACAGGGUUGUGUUCAUAGGGCACCAAACGGUGCAAAACAGACUGAAACAGGAAGGGACUGCGUGGACUACUGGUCCAAUCAGAAACACUAAUUGUAUUAUAUUUUUACCGUUUUGAAAUAUUUUCCAUGGCGUGCCCUAAUGAACGCGACCCAGAUAGGGAAACAGUUGUGCCUCAAUCUUUCUUUCCAGACCUCCUUGUCGUUUUUAAUGUAUUAUAAUAAAGGCUGUAGGCUGUUCCUGGUUGGGAAACCCUAUGCCUGUCACAAUCAACAUUUUAUUUCCCUCUGUUUUGUCGUCUUGUAAAUACUUUUAAUUCCACAUUUUAUUAAGAUUUGAAUGCAACACUACUUCACACCCAGUCAAAUGAAUGUAAAGAGCUUUGAAGGAAACCUGAGUCCUUUUUAAACCGUCUGAAAGGUUUUGAUGUUGAUGGAAGCCGAGUGUCGCUCUGUACACGACCGCCUCAUUGCCUCUAGUGUUCCUUCUCACAAUGGACAGAGAGGCUUAUUUGGAAACGUGUUUGGUUAUUUGUAAAGGGGCAAUUUAAAAAUGGCGAUUUUGAUAGUAAUUAUUCCAUAGUAUUUGGCGCCUGAAGAAUUUGUUCUUGGUGACGAUGCGAUGUUUUUAAGCCUGUAUUUAAAGAAUAAUCCUUGUAGAAUUUCUCAGUUAGUGAGAAUCUAAAAACGUUCAUUUCCGUUAGUGGGAGAAGAUCAUUUGGCUGGCCAAUGAUUAGUACAUGCAGUGAAAAGCUGUAUUGAAAAGCCUCUGUAAAACUGCCUAUGUGUUACACCUGUGUUGACUGUGUGGUUUGGGCCCCAACAACUUGUGAAGGAAUAUUUUCCAUUUUCACAAGGAUUACAAUAUGUUAUUAUGAAAGGGGAGUUAUUGGUAGAGUUGGUCGAGGUUUUGAGUCUGCUGUUUUUUUGUGCUUUAACAUUCGGGCACGUUGUAAUGAGUCAAAACUACUGGGAUCUGAAGUAUUCUUGCAAUGUAAAACCGUAAUGACGAGUCCUAGAAUUUUCAAAUGUGAAAUAUUUUUGUCUAAGAACAAAAUAAUGGCAAUACCUAUUUGUCAUAUAGUAUAAACACCUUGACAAUCUGACGUAUUAGUCGAGAAUCUAAGGACAUUGUAAGUGCCAGUGCUCAACAAAAAAUCUUUACCAUUUAAAGACAUAGGAGGCAAAAAAAUAAAUAAAUAGUCUUUUGAAUUGAAUCCAGCAAUAAUGAAUUAGUAACAUAAAAUCCAACUACUUGGAUGAACUUUCUUUGUCAAAUCACUGUAAAUUACCAUUGUAAGUUAACCGGCCUUGUUUGAAAUGUAUAGAUGCCAUUUUUUAGCUCUCCUAUGAAAUGUUACUGCUGCUUUAGAAAUACUAAUCAUGGCGUUAAACCUAAUGUAUUUUACUCUACUUAUUUUGGGUCAAUUCCAUUUCAAUUCAAUCCAUUCAGAAAUUUCAUUUCCCAAUUUUCCUCAAUGCUUGUCUACGGGGAUUUAAAAAAUGAAAUUGGAAUUUCAGUUUACUUCCUGAUUUGAUUGAAAGGAAUUGAGCCCAACCUUGUUGAAAGUCCAGAUAAAGGUGGCGUGUUACUGAGAACACUAUCGGGCCUUACUGUUUCUGUAGUAUAGUUUCACUACAUUGACUGUUAAAAUGUACUGUAACAGUGCACAAUGAUUUAUUUUUUUCUCAAAUGUGAGAACUCUUAGCAAUUUUAUCAGCUACAGACUAGAUGGAAUAUUGGCUAUGACCAAGUCCAAAAUGUUGUCAAAUACAAAACACAGUAUUUCUUUUGUUAGACCUGCCUGUUGCAAUUGAAUCAAAAAUGAAACUCAAAAUUAGUGUUUUGUACAGUACUUUUAAUCAUUGAUUCACAAACUUGUUGUUAAAGAGAGUCAGAGAGAGACCUAAUUUGCAUGUGAGGGAACAUGCAAUAUUAUACCCAGCAACCUCAAUGAUUAACUAACAUUCCCAACUCUGACUUUAUGUUGAAGAAACAUUGCUUCUAAUCUAUGAAUGUCUGGUCAGCUUGUAUUAUAUCACACACACACACACACACACACACACACACACACACACACACACACACACACACACACACACACACACACACACACACACACACACACACACACACACACACACACACACACACACACACACACACACACACACUAUUGAUAUCCAUCACAGCUACCAAGCUAGGGCUGAUUUAACAGACCAAACAUUGUAUACUAUACUGUAAUUGUAUGCUGUGUGCACACACUGGCCUGUAUCAAAAACCAAACCCUAUUAUCCUCAAGCCAUGUAUCUUGAGCGUGUAUUUGCUUGUGCCUUGUUUUGUUUUUUUUACAGUACACCUGGCAAUAUUAAUCCAUACUAAUAGCUUCUGAAUACUGCUUUUGAAUUGUUCUUUUUGCCCCCAUUUUGAAAUACUGUAUUAUAUGUCAUGAAUUAUACAGGAAAUGUGUUGCGUUGAAGACCAAGGUUAUUUCCCAAGUUGCACCCUAUUCCCUACCUAGUGCCCUACAUCUGACCAGAGUCUUAUGGGACUCUGUCAAAAGUAGUGCCCUAUAUAGGGCAUAAAGUUCCAUUUGGGAUGCAUCCUAAGGCUGCUGUAAAUAAAGCCAAUAGUUUAAUGGCAGUAUUUUCCACAGAUGUAAUAUUGGCUUGGCUGUUCUAUUCCUUGUGAACCACUUACAAUGCAUGCUUCUUUUGUUUAGCUUCAGUCAUUGUUUUAUCCCUCCCGUACCUAUAUUUAUAUGCAGUCUGUUCUAUUUUCUGUGUAUUAUGACAGCUGUACAUAUUUCAUGUUUUGUUCACUUCUUUCUCACUUGAUAGAAUUUGUUGAAAUUUAAACUUGAAAUAAACCAACUUCAGUCCCUGUC